rnacentral:rRNA from 1 species
ACCCCACUAUGCUCUAGAACGGAAUGCCCUAAGCACUAUUGCCUCAAGGCCGAAACUUAAAGAACAUGGCGGCAAACUUAAAUUUCAGAGGAACCUGCCAGGUAAGUGAUAACCCGCAUAUAAUCUUACUUUAACUAAAAGCCUAUAUGUCGCCGUCUAGAAAUCUCUUAAGAAGGUUUCAGUAAACAAUAAGACAGGUCAAGACAUAGCCUAUGUUAAAGAGCAAGGUGGGUUACAAUGAAAAAUUUUGUAGUACGGAAUAAUCUUAAAAUAAGCUUAGAAAGGAGGAUUUGAAAGUAAUCUUUAACAGUAAUACCAGAUGAAUUUUAUUGAGUUUGUGCACACACCG